rnacentral:rRNA from 1 species
AGCAGCAGCCACGGUAAUACGGAGGAUCCGAGCGUUAUCCGGAAUUAUUGGGUUUAAAGGGUGCGUAGGCGGAUAGAUAAGUCAGUGGUGGAAGACGGUGGCUCAACCAUCGCAGUGCCGUUGAUACUGUUUAUCUUGAAUAUGGAUGAGGUAGGCGGAAUGUGGCAAGUAGCGGUGAAAUGCAUAGAUAUGCCACAGAACACCGAUUGCGAAGGCAGCUUACCAAGGCAAAAUUGACGCUGAGGCACGAAAGCGUGGGGAUCGAACAGGAUUAGAUACCCCUGUAGUCCCUGUCUCUUAUAC